rnacentral:rRNA from 1 species
GGACUACAAGGGUUUCUAAUCCUGUUUGCUCCCCACGCUUUCGCACCUCAGCGUCAGUAUCGGGCCAGUGAGCCGCCUUCGCCACUGGUGUUCUUGCGAAUAUCUACGAAUUUCACCUCUACACUCGCAGUUCCACUCACCUCUCCCGAACUCAAGCCUCUCAGUAUCAAGGGCAGUUCUGGAGUUGAGCUCCAGGAUUUCACCCCUGACUUAAAAGACCGCCUACGUGCGCUUUACGCCCAGUGAUUCCGAGCAACGCUAGCCCCCUUCGUAUUACCGCGGCUGCUGGCAC